rnacentral:rRNA from 1 species
UACGGAGGGUGCAAGCGUUAUCCGGAUUCACUGGGUUUAAAGGGUGCGUAGGUGGGCAGGUAAGUCAGUGGUGAAAUCUCCGAGCUUAACUCGGAAACUGCCGUUGAUACUAUUUGUCUUGAAUAUUGUGGAGGUAAGCGGAAUAUGUCAUGUAGCGGUGAAAUGCUUAGAUAUGACAUAGAACACCAAUUGCGAAGGCAGCUUACUACACAACGAUUGACGCUGAGGCACGAAAAGCGUGGGGGAUCAAACAGG